rnacentral:lncRNA from 1 species
CCAGGUUCUCUCCUGCCUAACUCUGGUCUCAGGCCAGGAGCAGGAAGGGGCCCCAGAUAGUAUGUUCUCUGUCCUACCCCUGGAUCCUGCUUAUCUGCUCCCAGCAGCCCAGAGACCCAGCGCCAACUCACCCACGUGUGCCCAGCCUGGCAGCAGCAGGGGCUACAGAAGCCAGAGCCCAGGAGGGGAGGAAAGGGAGCAGGCCUGCCUCUGGUUCCCUGGGUGACCGUGGCAGGUCCACGCUCCCUCUGGCCUUCAGUGUCUCCAUCCCUCAAUUAAGGUGCUUGGACCACACUGUCCUGGGGCUGCCUGAUGGGGAAUGAGGUGGGGCAGCGGGGGCGAGCAGAGAGGUCUCAGAAGCCUCCCCCCACCCCCGGCCCCUCUGUGCCCCAGGCUCCAACCAGAGGCUCAGCCUUCAUCUGCUCCAUGGACCGGGCUCCCAGGGAACAGUUGAAAGAAAAAACCACUUUCCCCCCCAUAUUUUGAAGACAAUUCUGUUAGACCAGAUGUCCUGAACUGCCUGGCAGCGCUCACCUUCUGGGCUCUGAGCCUCCACAAUUCUAAAUUCUGAGAUUCUGAGAAUCCGAAAACCUGGGUUUAUGAAAUUCCAAAAAUCCAUGAUUCUUAGUUCCGGAUUCUAAGAUGUGCUGGAAUUCACGCUGUCCACUGCAAAACACACUGGGAAACGCAUCCCCUGCAAACACCCUUCCAGCUGGAUUGGCCGCCCUGCCGCGCGCCCUUCCCCGGACACUGGCGCCUGCACCUCCUGACCUGGGCUCCAGUCAGGCUCUCCAAUUGCAGAGUCUCUGGCUUCAUUCACAGGCCCAACACCCAGGGAAACGGAGAGCUAGAGACACAGAACCCAGAGGCAGCAUCUGGUCACCUUCACCACGUGGCCCAACCACAAUGGGUCCUGUCCGCAGGCCCGCUCCAGGUCCCUUCUGUGUCCACACCUGGGAGGCAUCGGUAAGUGCAGCUGCCCAGUCUGGGAGAAGGAGCCCUUGAGGAGGUGGGGCUCACGGGACCAGCAGGAAACCCUUCCUGACCCCAG